rnacentral:rRNA from 1 species
UUCGCAAUGCCCGAAAGGGUGACGAAGCGACGCCGCGUGUGGGAAGAAGGCCUUCGGGUUGUAAACCACUGUCGGGAGUUAAGAAAUGCAAGGAUAUUAAUAGUGUCUUUGUUUGACUAAGGCUCCGGAGGAGGCCACGGCUAACUCUGUGCCAGCAGCCGCGGUAAUACAGAGGCGGCAAGCGUUGUUCGGAAUUAUUGGGCGUAAAGAGCACGUAGGCGGCUAUGUAAGUCGGUUGUGAAAGCCUUCCGCUCGACGGAAGAACGGCAUCCGAUACUGCAUGGCUUGAGUGUGGGAGGGGAGAGUGGAACUUCUGGUGGAGCGGUGAAAUGCGUAGAUAUCAGAAGGAACACCGGCGGCGAAGGCGACUCUCUGGUCCAUAACUGACGCUGAGUGUGCGAAAGCUAGGGGGGCAAACGGGAUUAGAUACCCCGGUAGUCCUAGCCGUAAACGAUGGGCACUAAGUAGAGGGGUUUU